GGAUAUUGGUUGAUGCUUAUUUACAGGUUUGGGGUCUGCCUAACCCCUCACCCUUCGGGUGUGUUUUUUUUUUUAAGAAAUUGUUAGACGACAUCCUGCACAUAAUGAGGAAGACUCUUCAAAAAACUAGGUAAUUUAAUUUAUGAAAUAAAUGAAUUAUAUUUAAUAAUAUUUAAUAUUAAAUCAAUGCAAAUAUUCAGUUUGUUAAUUUAAUAUUAUCCAUUAAUUUAUUCAUAAAAGGUGUCAACCUUUCUGCAUGUACA
rnacentral:lncRNA from 1 species